rnacentral:rRNA from 1 species
AUUGAACGCUGGCGGCAUGCUUUACACAUGCAAGUCGAACGGUAACAGGGUGCUCGCACCGCUGACGAGUGGCGAACGGGUGAGUAAUGCGUCGGAACGUGCCGAGUAGUGGGGGAUAACGCAGCGAAAGUUGUGCUAAUACCGCAUACGUACUGAGGUAGAAAGUGGGGGACCUUCGGGCCUCACGCUAUUCGAGCGGCCGACGUCUGAUUAGCUAGUAGGUGAGGUAAAGGCUCACCUAGGCGACGAUCAGUAGCGGGUCUGAGAGGAUGAUCCGCCACACUGGGACUGAGACACGGCCCAGACUCCUACGGGAGGCAGCAGUGGGGAAUUUUGGACAAUGGGCGAAAGCCUGAUCCAGCCAUGCCGCGUGUCUGAAGAAGGCCUUCAGGUUGUAAUGGACUUUUGUCGGGGAGGAAAUCCCCAGCGCUAAUACCGCUGGGGGAUGACAGUACCUGAAGAAUAAGCACCGGCUAACUACGUGCCAGCCGCCGCCGUAAAAC